AGGCAAGUGAGACACUGGAUCUGAGGGAGCACGAUGGCAGUGUUUCUGGAGGCCAAGAACGCCCAUUCGGUCCUGAAGCGGUUCCCCCGUGCUAACGAGUUCCUGGAGGAGCUGCGCCAGGGCACCAUCGAGCGGGAGUGCAUGGAGGAGAUCUGCAGCUACGAGGAGGUCAAGGAGGUGUUUGAGGACAAGGAGAAAACGAUGGAGUUCUGGAAGGGGUACCCAAACGCCGUCUACUCCGUCCGAGACCCUGCGCAGAGCUCAGACGCCAUGUACGUGGUGGUGCCCCUUCUGGGCGUGGCCUUGCUGAUUGUCAUCGCCUUGUUCAUCAUUUGGAGGUGCCAGCUGCAGAAAGCCACCCGUCACCACCCGUCGUACGCUCAGAACCGGUACCUAGCGAGUCGCGCGGGGCACAGCCUCCCCCGGGUCAUGGUCUACCGGGGCACUGUGCACAGCCAGGGCGAGUCCUCCGGGCACCGGGAGGCAGGGAGCCACCCGCAGGUGGUGCUGGGGCCCAGUCGCGGAGGUAGGACCACGGUCCGCCUCGAGAGCACCCUCUACCUCCCCGAGCUCUCCCUCUCCAGACUGUCCAGCGCCACCCCGCCCCCGUCCUACGAGGAGGUGACUGCUCCCCAGGAGAGCAGCAGCGAGGAGGCGAGCGUCUCUUACAGUGACCCGCCCCCCAAGUACGAAGAGAUAGUGGCCGCCAACCCCGGUUCCGACAAGUAGUGGGACUCGGGUCCCAUCCAGCGGGAAAGCCUCGUUCAGGGGUCUCCUCUUUUCUUUUUAACUUUUUAAAGACUGUGCCACCACAAAACAGCCUUAGCCUCCUCGUUGCCAAAUAAUUUCCCACCCGUGGAUUUGCGGGAAGUCGGUUGUCAGAGACAGGUGGCGGGGGGUAGGGAUCACGCAUGCGCCGCGACCGCGGGCUGGGGGUGGGGGGAGCGAGGAGCCGCGAGCCAGAGAGCCCAUAGCUCUUCCAGAAGCCCCCAGGCCCCUGCCCUCCUGUCCUCCUGUCAGGGCCUGGCUUCUCUUAUGCCAAAGGAAUCCCCCUGUUGAGUUGAUCGUGGCUGGCGACCCGUUUGUCUGAAGCCUCGCCACAGAGACGAGGGAGAGAAGCCAGCCCUUCAGCGCCCUUUUCCCUGACUAGCCCUGCUGGGCUCUAGGGCCUGGCUCACUUGUGACAAGGACAAGGACCGAACAGAACCGGAAAGAGUAACAACCUGACUGAACACAAUACAACACAACGCUGUCCCCUGGGCCGCGCAUAGGGGUUCAAGAGAAAUCAGUGGCACGGAUCUGUGGCACUCCCCUCCCCCAACGCCCACCCCACGCUCCUGACCAGGUUCCGAGGAAUGUCUAGAGCCACCCGGAAGGGGCACGGGGUGUGUGAAGGAUGAGGGGCAGCGCCUGGCUGGCAGAGCUGCCUCCUGCAGGUUGUGGACCUUGGCGUCCCCCAGCCCUUGGCUCGCCGGGCACCGGUACCAGCCGAGCCAGAGCCGCCACCCGCUGGCUCAAGCCCAGGCUUAGGCCGGGGAGGACAGACUGUGGCACCCAGGGUCUUUGAAUGGUUGAGGGCAGGCUGGGGGAGAGAGCUGAAGCGUCCUCCUCCUGAGGGUGGCCCAUAGGAUGAGUAAAGCCAUGCACUUGGCCUUCUCCGAGCUGUGCUCUCUGGCUCCUGGACCUUGGAGGCUAUUCGCCUUUUUGUGAAUAGGUGUGUUGAGAUGAACCUGGUGCCCGCCUGGGGAGAUCGUCAAGGGUCCCUUUGGAGGAGUUUCUUGGUGGGGGGGAUGCGGCAGCCCAUGACCUGGGGUUGAGGGCCCAUCUGGGAUUUGCUCCGUCAUUGCCAGGUGCUGGUCCUUUUUUAGUCCCCCCCUUCUGUGGCCCCGGGAGCUGUCCGCCUCUCCAUUUCGGGGAGGCUUCGGACAGCAGUGGGGCGGAGGUGAGCACACAAAAGACACUGUCGACACUGCCUCCCCACCCCGCCGUCUUCAUCCUCCUGGCCUCAGCACCAAACCAUGUUUCCUCUGUGGUGCUUUACAAAAUGUAGCAAAUUUUUGUGGGGCCCCAAAAGAGUGCACAGCCAGGGUCUAUUGGCAACCACAGCGGUUUAAAACCCACAGAGAAGACAAGCUUCUCUCUGUCUAAACAGCUUUCCAAGGCAAGCCUCGGGCCUCGUUCUUUGACUUCCGGAGGCCCUUCCCGCCCUGGGCCCUCGGCCAGGAACGCACUUCUAGAAAUCUGUAGGUUACACGGGAGUCGGUCUCCUGCCGGUUGAACCUUUCUGCCCCUCCCCCUCGCCCUCCUCCGGAGCUCCCUGAUGCCAGAGGUGCUGACCAGGUGGCAUUCCACCUCUCCCCCUUCCUCUUCCUGCCCGCGGGCCUCUAGCAUGUCCUCGGCCCGUGCCUGUCUGGGACCUGGGAGGAUGCCCAGGAACGCCUGCUCCCUUUGGCCCCUUUGCAGCUGGCCGGAGGUGGGAGCUCUCCGGGUCAGGUGCUUCGCAGCGUUCUUCCACGUGGGGUUGCCACCGUGGGCUCUGGGACGUCUUUUGCAGCAUCUCGUAGAAAACAGACUGUACAGUUCACAAUGGUCAGAACUCCUCGUGGUGCACAUUUGGCUUUUAUGAAUGCCCUGUACAUAUCUUUUGCAACUCUGUCUUUGUACCGACGUUGAUUUGAUACAAUGCUACACCUGCAGUGGCCACAUUUUUGUUGGUUUUGGACUGUGUGUGUGUGUGUGUGUGUGUUUGUGUGUCCGUAUACACGUGUGCACGUUGCCUUUUCUCACACGCUUAUCUGAAACAAUAGCCGGUGUGUGGCUAUAUUUGUACCAGGAGGGUUCCGGUCUGAAGGGAGGAGUGAAGAAAGCCGAGCUUAGCUGUUGGAGCCCGCCAAAGUUGCUUCCUUCCACCCCCUUCCCGAAAGAUUUGGGAAGAAGACGGAGCCACUCCAUGCUGUGGGACCCCCACUGUAACGCCCUGUUGGCGCCGUGCCCCCAGCCUCCACGCCUGCUCUCUGAGCAUCAGCAGCUGAAGGCAAUCUGAGCACUCCUCAGCCUUUUUAUUUUUUUUUUUUUACUUUUAUUUUUCGGUGGAAAGGUGGGUGACUGUUGACUGUGGGAAUGGAAGGGCUAGUUAUUUAGGUAUUUUUCAUUUAAACAAAAAA
rnacentral:lncRNA from 1 species